GUGUAUGUUUCUUGUAGGAGCAAACCGCAACAGACCAGGUCACCGCUGCCGAGGAGGGACCACAGGAACCCGCCCAGCCACUGGCCGUGCAGUUCAUUCUGCAGGCUCCAAUGGAGCAAGGUUUCGAGGAGCAAACCGCAACAGACCAGGUCACCGCUGCCGAGGAGGGACCACAGGAACCCGCCCAGCCACUGGCCGUGCUGUUCAUUCUGC